ensembl:lncRNA
CGAUUUUUGGGGUAUUUUGGGGCAAUUUUGGGGAUUAUUUUGGGUCGAUUUUUGGGGUAUUUNNNNNNNNNNNNNNNNNNNNACCUGAGACACACCUGGGGACACCUGGGGACACCUGGGGACACCUGGGGACACCUGGAACACACCUGGGGACACCUGGGGACACCUGAGACACACCUGGGACACACCUGGGGACACCUGGAACACACCUGGGGACACCUGGGGACACCUGAACAUCACGUGGGGACACCUGGGGACACCUGGGGGGAUAAAAACACACCUGGGACACACCUGGGACACACCUGGGCACACCUGGGGACACCUGGGGACACCUGGGACACACCUGGGGACACACCUGGCGUCACACCUGUGCUCACCUGUCCCCUCCCCCGCAGGUCCCUGGGAGCCGCCGCAGGUGCGGCCGCUUCAGGUGAAGCCCGGGCCCUGCCCCCCCCAAAACAAUUCCCAAAAUUCCUCAAAUCCCGAAAGUUUCUGCCUCGAUCUCAGCCCCGGGAGCCCGGAGUGCCAGGCGGAUUUGGGGUCCCCCCUGGCCUGCCAGGAGCGGGGGCUGGGGCUGAUCUGGGGGGGAUUUGGGGCAUUUUGGGGUGAAUUUUGGGGUCUUUUGGGUCAUUUUUGGGGUAUUUUGGGGGCUGAUUUUAGGGUGGUUUUGGGGUUGAUUUUGGGGCGAAUUUUGGGGUAUUUGGGGCAUUUUUGGGGUUGAUUUUGGGGCAGUUUUGAGGUGAUUUUUGGGGCAUUUUUGGGGUAUUUUUGGGACAAUUUUUGGGGCAUUUUGGGGCAUUUUUGGGGUUGAUUUUGGGUCGAUUUUUGGGGUAUUUUGGGGUUGAUUUUGGGGUGGUUUUGUGGCGAUUUUUGGGGUGAUUUUGGGGCCUUUUGGGGCGAUUUUUGAGGUAUUUUGGGCCGAUUUUAGGGUUGAUUUUGGGUCGAUUUUUGGGGUAUUUUGGGGCAUUUUUGGGGAUAAUUUUGGGUCGAUUUUUGGGGUAUUUUGGGGCCUUUUGGGAGUGGAUUUUUGGGAUAUUUUGGGGCAAUUUUGGGGUGUUUUUGGGACAAUUUUUGGGGUAUUUUGGGGCAUUUUUGGGGCAGAUUUUGGGUCGAUUUUUGGGGUAUUUUGGGGCAUUUUAGGGUUGAUUUUGGGUCCAUUUUUGGGGUAUUUUGGGGCCUUUUGGGGGUUGAUUUUGGGGUGGUUUUGGGACAAUUUUUGGGGUAUUUUGGGGCAUUUUUGGGGAUAAUUUCGGGUCGAUUUUUGGGGUAUUUUGGGGCAGUUUUGGGGUGUUUUUGGGUCGAUUUUUGGGGUAUUUUGGGGCAGUUUUGGGGUGAAUUUCAGGUCGAUUUUUGGGAUAUUUUGGGUCGAUUUUGGGUUAUUUCCGGCCGAUUUUUUCGGGGUUUUUCACCAUUCUAACCCCGGAUUUUUUAUUUUUUUUUAUUUUUCGGGGUUCCCCCCCCCUUGACCAGGCGGAUUUGGGGUCCCCCCUGGCCUGCCAGGAGCGGGGGCUGGGGCUGAUCUGGGGGGGAUUUGGGGCAUUUUGGGGUGAAUUUUGGGGUCUUUUGGGUCAUUUUUGGGGUAUUUUGGGGGCUGAUUUUAGGGUGGUUUUGGGGUUGAUUUUGGGGCGAAUUUUGGGGUAUUUGGGGCAUUUUUGGGGUUGAUUUUGGGGCAGUUUUGAGGUGAUUUUUGGGGCAUUUUUGGGGUAUUUUUGGGACAAUUU